rnacentral:rRNA from 1 species
AACGAACGCUGGCGGCAUGCCUAACACAUGCAAGUCGAACGAGACCUUCGGGUCUAGUGGCGCACGGGUGCGUAACGCGUGGGAACCUGCCCUUAGGUUCGGAAUAACUCCCCGAAAGGGGUGCUAAUACCGGAUAAUGUCUUCGGACCAAAGAUUUAUCGCCUUUGGAUGGGCCCGCGUUGGAUUAGCUAGUUGGUAGGGUAAAAGCCUACCAAGGCGACGAUCCAUAGCUGGUCUGAGAGGAUGAUCAGCCACACUGGGACUGAGACACGGCCCAGACUGCUACGGGAGGCAGCAGUGGGGAAUAUUGGACAAUGGGGGAAAGCGUGAUCCAGCAAUGCGGCGUGAGUGAUGAAGGCCUUAGGGUUGUAAAGCUCUUUUACCCGGGAUGAUAAUGACAGUACCGGGAGAAUAAGCUCCGGCUAACUCCGUG